UACGUAGGGUGCAAGCGUUAAUCGGAAUUACUGGGCGUAAAGCGUGCGCAGGCGGUUAUGCAAGACAGAUGUGAAAUCCCCGGGCUCAACCUGGGAACUGCAUUUGUGACUGCAUAGCUAGAGUACGGUAGAGGGGGAUGGAAUUCCGCGUGUAGCAGUGAAAUGCGUAGAUAUGCGGAGGAACACCGAUGGCGAAGGCAAUCCCCUGGACCUGUACUGACGCUCAUGCACGAAAGCGCGGGGAGCAAACAGG
rnacentral:rRNA from 1 species